UCAAGGAAGCAUUUGCUACAAGCUAUUAAAUAUAUUCAAGUUGCAUACACUAAUAUUACUUUGAGAGGCUGACAAACAGGUAAUAAUGUUUAUUUGAUACUAGCACUUUUUUUUCCGUGCAGGUAGGUCAGAGAAAUCCAGUUUCCGAGCCGGCAUGGUGCCACCUCGGCAGCCGAUAGCGAGCCUCAGAAGUUCGUAGCCGAUUUCUCCCUUGGCUCGCGGCGAUUCCGCCGUCCUGAGCUCGUAGUCGAAAACAAAUCGUUGCGCAACGGCGAGCCAAGUUAUUCCCGCGUCGGACAGCGGACUGAGGAGGUUUAAGACGCGCACCGUUGACGAAACGGGGCUCCUGGGAGCAGGUAUAAAGUCGAUUCGGUGUCGAUUCCGUGCCGGGAUGUUCAAAACAAAUCGCACGCGGUCGAAAACAAAUCGUUGCGCAACGACGUGCAGGAAAUUAUACCCGCCCGAGAUUGUUUAUCUCGGAUCGUGAGGGAUCACCUGACUUUUCGGCGCAUAAAGAGGCGAUGUCGUUGGUGCGAACAGAGUUAAUUAUUAGCGGCAGGGAGAUGAUUUAGACGGAUAAUGGAAUUUCGCGGCAAGUAUCGCGACGACGACGGGCGCUCGAUGAUCCACCAACGGUAUUGGUACCACUAUUAUUUUGUAUUUGUUUUUAUUUUGUAUCCUUGGCAUCACUAUUAUCGGACUAAAAGUGUUGACUUGUUCCGCGCACCGUUAGAAAUAACCAUUUGCACGAGAACAUUAGAAGUACAUUAGGAGACUGCGGUUUAUGCAAAGCACACGCGAGGUCGCGGCUGAACUGCCAUCAAGACUUUGUUUUACGCAUGAAAGUGAACCGCGUCUCGCGCGCAACGCUUGCUCAAGUAUCCCGCUGUUAAAGUACGCGCACUUUGUUAUUAUUUACGCGCGAGUUAAGGCAUGACGGAAUACACGAGUGUCGCGCAAUGAGCGAGAGCCAUUCGUUCGGUAUUUUAUCAUAGCAUAGAAGGUGAUUUCCUUCCUCCAUGGGUCAAACCGUCCCUCAGUUUUGGCGAUGAUAGUCGCAGGCGAGCCGCGCGAUCGACCAACAUCGCGGAAAGGCGGAAUGGGAUUCCAAAUUGGUAUCACAGUGGGAUAACCUAUUCUGGGACAACUUUCGGUGUUCUAAUCGAGAUCUCUACUACAUAUGAGAAAGUCUGUCGACUAAUCGCAAGGGACACACCUGUGUGGUCUCCGAAUGAUAUCUUAUUUAAAGCGUCGUACUUCGCGAAAUGUUUUACGGCGACGAAUACGGUGAUUUCUUAUUGCAAAUAUAAACGAAGAGAAGAGAACGGGAAGACAUUCGCUUCCGGAGCUCAUUUCGGACGAUCCGUAACUCGCAACGGAGUCCCGCGUUCUACCCGCAACUUCGUCCGCGGCGUGUAACAAUUUGCAGAUUCUUUAAACGAACAGAACUCGAACUCGAGUCCCGAAUCGCAAGAUCGUCCGCGGAGGGGACUUGGAAAUCCGUCUUCGUGCACGACGCAGACGACGCAGCCGACCCGGUGCAACGGUAGCGAAGUACACGAUCUCGACUGGUUUAUACGCGGUUUUUUCCCCCUCUCGUACGAUUGGCGAAGAUGCAUUAGCCUCGAUUUCAAGGAGAGCGUUGCACCACCCGAGGUUAGAGGCGCGUGAAAAUGCUCGAUCGGACGGUGAACGAUCGACGACCUCAUUGGUCGACGACACUUUGCACCUGCAAAUGCGACAGUCACGCUCGCAAUGCCGCGGACACGCGGUGGAAUGUUCGCCCCGGCACUGACUAAGCGCUAAUGACAUUCGAUUUAGUCGCGCGCGCGUCCGCGUGUGUGCGGCCAUCGCGCGUAUUAAUUAUACGCCCUCCCGUGUGUACGUGUUUCUACUCCCCGUUGUACCCCUCCGCCUCUGCGGAAUAUCUAAAUUAUCAUCUGAUACGCCGGUUAAAGUAGACGGACGGUAAGUCGACAGCGAGAGACACCGUUCUAAUCGUUAAUGUUCGUUUGCGUUACGUGUAAAAUGACAGCUCCCCCGUUCCAAGCGUGGAUUAUUGUUUACGCGCGCUCGUGCUGAUUAUACGCCUCGUGCGGUCGAGUGCGAUAGGGUCAACGCGAUAUCGCAAGGCAACUUUCAAUAAUGUCGGAAACGGCAGAGUGCGGGCAGAUUCGUAGUAAUGAAAAAUAAUCGCGCCGACGUAUGGCCCGUUGCGCAAUUGUCGAAAGCGGCGAACCGUGCCAGGUAACAGCGUUGUAAAAUGAUUUCAUGGAACCGUGAGAGAGAGAGAGAGAGAGAGAGAGACUACCGACGUACGCAUAGACGAACCGUUCGCAGCUUACCGUCCCGCUUCUAAGCCGCGUUCGUCGCGCGUUCGUGAAUUGCGCCACGCGAGAUAAAAUUCACGGGUUUUAUUUACGGAUCACUUCAGCCGCCUUUCGAGUGAAUUCAAGAAACACGCGCAUAAUAAGUCGCCCAGUUUAUUUCCCGUUUUCACGCCACGCGGAUCCCGGUCGCCGACGCGCAACCGCGAUACGCGUUGUAAAAUGCAACCCAAUAAAAGCAAGCGCGUUAUCGUCGCGUUAACGCAACCGUGCGCGCUGCACGGUAUAAAAGUCGGCAUAACCACGCCGGAAUAUGGCUACAAUUUGAAUACUGCGCGGCUUCAUUUGCAUGUCAAAAGAGAACAGUCGAUUAUACUGUCCGCGCGGACGGCGGUAGCAAUGUUCGCGCGAAGGUCGUAACGCGGAAUCACGCACAUGUGAUUUUCUCGUAUUCAGCCCGAUCGGACGCGAGAACAGGCCGCCCCCCCCCCCCUGCACUUCUGCCGAAGGCAGGCUCGUGUCAAAAUCGGUGAAAAUUCGGCCGUAUCGUACGACGGACGUGCCGCGCGAUUUUCGACGCGGGAGGUUCCACGACCGCUGAAAUUGGAUAAUGAGUCGUCGCGGUGAAAAUUGCCGGGAAUUGUUCGCCGAGUGGAAUUACGUAACACCACGAUUGCACGCAGUUGCCACGGUUUUAAUGGAACUGAGAAAACGAAUAAAGGGUAACGAGAAUCUUAAUUGACACGAUUGAUUAAUUCAGACUUCGACGAGCUCGCUUCCUCACAUUCGCUCGAUUUCAACGAGAGUUCGUGUAGUUACUUGGUAUCAAUUGAAUGCGGCGCACCGGUACAUACCUACGCACCCGUCGAAUCUUACAAGUGUGGCGAUGGACGAUGCGUAAUCCCGAGAGGCAAAAACCCCGGAAUUUGAGAAGAGGGACAACACAUCCCGAAAAAGUACAAUCCUGAAAAACUGUCUCCAAGCCCCGCAUUCAUAGCUGUAAAUUAUUUCUCAUUUUCAGAAAAAAAUUUGGAUAGCGUCAAGCUCGAACGCGCAAUGUGCAGCGUGCCGCCUUAUAUGCUGCGCUACACUCGCUAUCUGGUAAACAUGCUUUCGUAAGCUUACGGUGCACGAAAAACUUUGCAUGUAAAUUUGUCGUGAAUACUUGAGAGGUGUGUUGUUUCAUUUGUCUAUCAAAUAGUGAGAGCUUGGUACUACAAUAUAUCCUAAUCUGAGCAAAAUCUGUGAUGACAUCAUACUCUCCCUUUUACACGGAUGCCGCGGAGAAAGAAUGUCUUAUCUUCUGACGCGACCGUCGACCCAUUUUCUAACAUCUGCUUCAUUUCGAAAAUAUGACUAUUCUCGAAUAGCUAGAAUUUGUCGCUUAAAUCGUUAAGCGCCGUCAAACCGAUCACGAUCGCGAGUGCAGUGCAGCGAAGUGAAAUGAAGAGUGAGUGAGGAGCGACCAACGGAGGACGACAGCUGGAUGCUGAGGAGGCUGGACGUGUGCGAAGCGACGCGGUCGAGAUACAACGUUGGGUCUCUCAUCGGGGGACCUGAGUAAGGACUAGACGUCGUUAGGCAUCAACGCGAAUUGAUAUAACAUUUGACCGAGUAAAGAUGCAAGUAUCAGUAGUUAGAGCAAUCUACGUCAGAGAGAGAUAGCAACGCUAUCAUUAUGGGAUUAAGCACAGAAACUGCAGU